AGUGAACGCUGGCGGUAGGCCUAACACAUGCAAGUCGAACGGCAGCACAGUAAGAGCUUGCUCUUACGGGUGGCGAGUGGCGGACGGGUGAGGAAUACAUCGGAAUCUACUUUUUCGUGGGGGAUAACGUAGGGAAACUUACGCUAAUACCGCAUACGACCUACGGGUGAAAGCAGGGGAUCUUCGGACCUUGCGCGAUUGAAUGAGCCGAUGUCGGAUUAGCUAGUUGGCGGGGUAAAGGCCCACCAAGGCGACGAUCCGUAGCUGGUCUGAGAGGAUGAUCCGCCACACUGGAACUGAGACACGGUCCCGACUCCUACGGGAGGCAGCAGUGGGGAAUAUUGGGCAAUGGGCGAAAGCCUGAUCCAGCCAUACCGCGUGGGUGAAGAAGGCCUUCGGGUUGUAAAGCCCUUUUGUUGGGAAAGAAAAGCAGCAGGUUAAUACCCCGCUGUUCUGACGGUACCCAAAGAAUAAGCACCGGCUAACUUCGUG
rnacentral:rRNA from 1 species